GCAAUUCUUAGAGGACCUAGCAGAAAAGAACUUGCAGUGGGAAGCAACUAGGGAACCUACAAGAGGUGCUAUGCACCAAGUAUCCAUAUCCCUAGCUACAGAGGCCAAAAUAGAUACUAUACUACAUAGGUUAGAGGCCUUAGAACUCAAGGGACACACCCAAGUGAACUAGUUUCAACAUCUACUUGCAAUAGAUGUAAUGUCACAGACCACAUCAUGGAAGAAUAUCCCUUUUUGAUGAACCCAAUUAGAAACGAAGUAGCACAGGUUAAUGCUACCUACUACAAAUCUUCAAAUGACCCUUAUGCACCAACGUAUAACCCA
rnacentral:lncRNA from 1 species